AUCACCUCUUGGCCUUUUGGCUAAGAUCAAAUGUAGAAUUCUAGACACUGUGAGUAUCCAGCUGCAAUUUUCCAGUGUGUCAUUUUAUAUUAAUUCUUCUCAGAUUUUUUUUUUUUUUUUGAGACAGGGUUACUCUGUGUAACCUUGGCUGUGCUGGGACUAAAGGUGUGUGCCACCAUGCCCGGCAACAGAUUUUUUUU